CCCAACUGCAACUCCCACUGCCAGAGAAAACCUAAAUCUCCCAAAAUACGAAAUGAAAUCCGCCGACAAAGAAUCUUCCACCGACGCCGAGCACCGCCAAAUCCAAACCUUCCUGGCCGAGCUCCCGCCGGAGGUCAUCAUCAACAUCCUCUCCCGCCUCCACGUCGGCCGCCUCCUCUGUCUCCGCUCCGUCGCCAAGCCAUGGCGCUCCCUAAUCGACAGCUCCUACUUCAAAAACCUCCACCUCCAUCACUCCACCCAAUCCAAAUCCAAUCUCACUCUCAUCCUCCGUAAAGACUCGGACCUCUUCUGCGUCGAUUUCGAUUCGCUAAACGACGCUGUUGAGCUCACCCACCCGCUCAUGUGCUACAGCAACCGGAUUCGGGUUCUCGGAUCGUGUAACGGCCUGUUGUGCAUCUGCAACGUGGCGGAGGACAUCGCGCUGUGGAGCCCGUGGAUUCGGAAGUACAGGAUCCUGCCUUCUCUGCCGUCGGAUCGGAAGAGGGAUAAAGGUAUGUGUCUUUGCGGAGCUAGGGUUUAUGGAAUGGGAUACGACGCCGUUAAUGAUGACUAUAAACUCGUCAGGAUUUCACAGUUUGUCGGAUGGGACUCGGCGUCGUUUGAGAGUGAGGUGACGGUGUUUAGUCUGAGGAGGAGAGAGUGGAGGAAGGUGGACGACAUGCCGUUUUUGCUGUGCUACACUCGAAAAAUGGGGAUUUUCUCAAACGGAUGUGUGCAUUGGGUGGUGACACGGACUGAGCAGUUGGAUAAACCCGCAAGCGAGGUGGUGGCUGGAUUUGAUGUAGUGAAUGAGACUUUCAGGGAGGUGCCGAUGCCGGAGAUGGAUAGGAAGUGUCAGAUUAGUGUGGGGCAUUUGGAAGGAUGGUUAUGCAUUGUGGCGAAAUAUGAGGGCGUCGGUGUUGAUGUUUGGAGUAUGAAACAAUAUGGGGUUAAGGAGUCUUGGUGUAAGUUGUUUACUGUUAAACAGGUGCAAGGGGUGGGAAGGCUUAAGAGUAUUAGGCCUCUUAUUUAUUCCAAGAACGGACGACAAGUUUUGCUGGAACUGAAUCAUGAGGAACUUGUUUGGUUUGACUUGGAAGGACAGAUGGUCAAUAGUGUUAAGAUUCGAGGCUUGCCGGAUUUCUUUGAGGCUACAGUUUGUGCGGAGACCCUUGUGUCGGUUGACCCUAGUAAACGAGAGGAUAGGGAGACAGUGGGAAAGAAGAAAAAGAAAAGGGAUGAUUUCCUCGCUGAAGGCUUCAAGUUAGUGUUAUAAACAACACACAACACACAACACAAAACUUAGGAGAAGAAGGUGCAGAGAAGAUCAGAAAAGGUAAACUGAGUCGAGCAUGAUACCGUGAGCUCAUUAGCUGCAAUAUUUUAUGUCUACUGUCAAAGUUUCUGGCAGCGUUGAAGAUGAAGGUCAGGAUCAUGCUAGCACUGACAUCUUUGUGAGCUAAAAGGCUAGGGCAUUUACCUCACAAGACUUGGAACCGAAGUUUUAAUCUGAUCGUAGGCAUACCACGUGCGCAUUUCUUCCACAUACACCAGCUAGCUAAUCAAACCAAGAAUAAAGAAAGACUCUCUCUAUCACGACUUAGUGCAGCAGUAUCACUGCAAAUGCAUUGGAGGUUAGUUAGUGGUCUAGGAAUGGUAUCUGCAAAGGUAAAAGGCAUGAAUAUUGGAAAAUGAAGAGCAAGUGCAGAUGAAAAGGAGAUGAAGCAACCAAGAAAUUGGUCUUACUUGACAGAAGGAUAGAGGUUAAAACUUCACAUCUCCUUUACAGAUCCGUUCACACACACAGAAAACACUACGUAGUUUACCAACUUUAUUCCAGCUUUUCUAUUCUAUGCCUUUGGCCCCAUAUGUUUUCAGAGU